ACGACAUAGGGUUUAUCCUUUCCAAGCUCUCUCUCUCACACACACAUACCAAUUUAGGGUUUUCUUCACUGCAACAAAACUUUACAAGUUUUCAAAGAUGUCGAAGAGAAAAUUCGGAUUCGAAGGCUUUGGCAUAAACAAGCAAUCGACUUUCAACUUCGAGCGGUCCCAGCAAGCACCUCAGCGACUCUACGUGCCUCCGUCGUCGCGCGGACAAAGCCACGAUAACUACGAAGACACCGACCUUGACAACAUUGAUUACGACGAUAACGAUGGUUCCAGGGACCCUGGAAAUAACAACAAUCACGACGAAGGUGGCGGUGGCGGCGGCGACGAAAAUGAUGAAAUUGACCCUCUUGACGCGUUCAUGGAGAGCAUUCACGAGGAGGUGAGGUCGGCGCCGCCGCCGAAGCCGAAAGAGAAGGCUGAGAAGUACAAGGACGAUGAGGAAGAUGAUCCUAUGGAGAGCUUUUUGAGGGCCAAGAAGGACGUGACGCUGACGCUGGCUUCCGAUGCGUUACACGCUGGAUACGACUCCGACGAGGAGGUCUAUGCGGCUGCGAAGGCGGUCGAUGCGGGGAUGUUGGAGUACGAUUCGGAUGAUAAUCCCAUUGUUCUGGACAAGAGGAAAAUUGAGCCAAUUGCCGCUCUCGAUCAUAGUUCGAUCGACUACGAGCCCUUUAAUAAGGAUUUUUACGAGGAGAAAGAGUCAAUUUCAGGGAUGAGUGAGGAGGAUGUUGCUGAGUACAAGAAGAGCUUGGCCAUCCGUGCGUCGGGUUUUGAUGUACCCAGGCCACUUAAGACAUUUGAAGAAUGUGGAUUUUCUUCACAGCUCAUGAGUGCAAUAAAGAAACAAGAUUAUGAAAAGCCUACACCUAUACAGUGCCAAGCUCUACCCAUAGUUCUUUCUGGGAGAGAUAUCAUCGGUAUUGCAAAAACUGGUUCUGGAAAGACUGCCGCCUUUGUCCUUCCUAUGAUAGUCCACAUUAUGGAUCAGCCGGAACUUCAGAAAGAAGAGGGUCCUAUUGGAGUGAUAUGUGCACCUACUAGAGAACUGGCGCACCAAAUAUACUUAGAGGCCAAGAAAUUUGCUAAAUCACAUGGGAUACGUGUCUCUGCUGUAUACGGUGGAAUGUCUAAGCUUGAUCAAUUCAAAGAACUUAAGGCAGGAUGUGAGAUAGUUGUUGCUACUCCUGGGAGAUUGAUAGACAUGCUUAAAAUGAAGGCACUGACGAUGCUAAGGGCAACUUACCUAGUACUUGAUGAGGCUGAUCGGAUGUUUGACCUUGGGUUUGAGCCUCAAAUUAGGUCUAUUGUUGGUCAGAUUCGGCCAGACCGGCAGACAUUGCUCUUUUCUGCGACAAUGCCCCGUAAAGUUGAAAAGUUGGCCAGGGAGAUUCUCUCUGAUCCAAUAAGAGUUACAGUGGGUGAGGUGGGAAUGGCCAAUGAGGAUAUCACUCAGGUUGUUCAUGUAAUUCCUUCUGAUGCUGAGAAGUUGCCCUGGCUUCUUGAGAAGUUACCUGGAAUGAUCGAUGAGGGUGAUGUUUUAGUAUUUGCUUCAAAAAAAGCUGCAGUGGAUGAGAUUGAAUCACAGCUUUCCCAGAAAGGUUUUAAGGUCACAGCUCUGCAUGGUGACAAGGACCAGGCAUCUCGGAUGGAUAUUUUGCAAAAAUUUAAAUCUGGCAUUUACCAUGUUCUUAUUGCAACUGAUGUUGCUGCUCGUGGUCUUGACAUCAAGUCAAUUAAGUCAGUUGUGAACUUUGAUAUUGCAAAAGACAUGGACAUGCACGUCCAUCGAAUUGGUAGAACAGGUCGUGCUGGUGAUAAAGAUGGGACUGCAUACACUCUUAUAACUCAGAAAGAGGCACGGUUUGCUGGUGAAUUGGUUAAUAGCUUGGUUGCUGCUGGUCAGAAUGCCUCCACAGAGCUCAUGGACCUAGCAAUGAAGGAUGGCAGAUUCAGGUCUAAACGUGAUUCAAGAAAAGGAGGUGGAAAGAAGGGUAGAGGGAGGGGCGGUGGUGGUGGUGGUGGCGGCGGCGGCGGCGGAGGUCGAGGUGUGCGUGGGGUGGAUUAUGGUCUGGGUAUUGGAUAUAAUUCGGAAUCCAAUAAUUCUUCAUCUCAUACUCCUACUAGUCGAUCUGCUGCAGUAACUUCUCUGAGGACAGGAAUGAUGUCUCAGUUCAAGACCAAGUUUGUUGCUGCUGCAUCAAACUCUCCAAGUCAGGGUUCAGGUAACAGCUCUAGUGUUCCCCAGAGAUCAGCAUUAAGAGGAUUUGUAUCGGGUGGCUCCAUUGGCGGGGACAUAUAUAGAACUCAGGCAACAAAUACAGUUACUCCUGCUCCGACAUCAGUCGUAAACAUAUCUUCACAGAACUCUGGAGAAAAUGCAAGUCAGAAGCCUUCUGAAAGUUCUAGAGAUAAACCUAGAGAACGUCGGAGGCGCUCUGGUUGGGACUGUUAGUCAUACAGUUGAAGAACACCACUCUCACAUAAUGAGAACUCUUGUUUUUGUUGUAGAUCAAGUCCUUAUAUGCCUGUAUUAUGUUGAUCUUGAUCAAGGAAAUUACUUGUCCCAAAAUUAAAUGUUAAAAAAGGAAAGGAAAGAGAGUGUUGCAGAUGAAGUGCUUUAUACAAACGGCAUCUCAUGUCUCCCCAAUGUUCUAUUUUUAAUAAAAAGAGGGGUUGUUGAGUAGGAAGAUGCAGAGUACAUAUGAUUUGUUUUUCUGUACAACCCUAAUGUCAGCAAUUUAGUUGUUUUGUAAAUUAAUUUGCUUAUCCAUUUUUUUU